GCUCCAGCUAAGAAUGAUUUCUUAUUUGAAAAGGUAUUUCUGUUAUAAUGAUAAUGCCUGCUACUCAGGUUAGGAGGUUAGCAUCGGGAAAAUUUAGUCAUGUGAUUAAGAAAAAUCUUCUAUUCUCUUGUAAACAAAUUACGGAGGCAGUUAAUUCUGUGCUAUUCUAACUGAUUUCUGCUGUCUUUAUAAUGCAGCGUCUUCAAAACUUCGUUUUUGAUAUCCUCAUGCAAUAUUCAAGAGGAAAAUCUGCACUUAUAUUCUGUUCAACACG